UGAAAUCUCGUGUUAUAUGCUUGUACUGGAUCC
rnacentral:sRNA from 1 species